CUGCAGUCGANCGGACGACGGGAGCUUGCUCCCUUAGGUCAGCGGCGGACGGGUGAGUAACACGUGGGUAACCUGCCUGUAAGACUGGGAUAACUCCGGGAAACCGGGGCUAAUACCGGAUGCUUGAUUGAACCGCAUGGUUCAAUCAUAAAAGGUGGCUUUUAGCUACCACUUACAGAUGGACCCGCGGCGCAUUAGCUAGUUGGUGAGGUAACGGCUCACCAAGGCGANGANNCGUAGCCGACCUNAGAGGGUGAUCGGCCACACUGGGACUGANACACGGCCCAGACUCCUACGGGANGCAGCAGUAGGGAAUCUUCCGCAAUGGACGAAAGUCUGACGGAACAACGCCGCGUGAGUGAUGAAGGUUUUCGGAUCGUAAAACUCUGUUGUUAGGGAAGAACAAGUACCGUUCGAAUAGGGCGGCACCUUGACGGUACCUAACCAGAAAGCCACGGCUAACUACGUGCCAGCAGCCGCGGUAAUACGUAGGUGGCAAGCGUUGUCCGGAAUUAUUGGGCNUNAAGCGCGCGCAGGCGGUUUCUUAAGUCUGAUGUGAAAGCCCCCGGCUCAACCGGGGANGGUCAUUGGAAACUGGGGAACUUGAGUGCAGAAGAAGAAANNGGAAUUCCNCGUGUAGCGGUGAAAUGNGUAGANNNGUGGAAGAACACCAGUGGCGAAGG
rnacentral:rRNA from 1 species